rnacentral:rRNA from 1 species
AUAGCGUAUAUUAAAGUUGUUGCAGUUAAAAAGCUCGUAGUUGAACUUCAGACCUGGCUGGGCGGUCAGCUUAUCGGCGUGUACUGUCUGGCUGGGCCUUACUUCUUGGGGAGCUGGUGUGCCCUUUAUUGGGUGCGUCGGUGAACCAGGACCUUUACCUUGAGAAAAUUAGAGUGUUCAAAGCAGGCCUAUGCCCGAAUACAUUAGCAUGGAAUAAUAAAAUAGGACGUGCGGUUCUAUUUUGUUGGUUUCUAGAGUCGCCGUAAUGAUUAAUAGGGAUAGUUGGGGGCAUUGGUAUUGAGUCGCUAGAGGUGAAAUUCUUGGAUUGACUCAAGACCAACUAUUG